rnacentral:rRNA from 1 species
UACGAGGGGGGCUAGCGUUGUUCGGAAUUACUGGGCGUAAAGCGUGCGCAGGCGGCCUUUCAAGUCAGUGGUGAAAGCCCGGAGCUCAACUCCGGAACUGCCAUUGAAACUGUUUGGCUUGAGUACGAGAGAGGUGAGUGGAAUUCCUAGUGUAGAGGUGAAAUUCGUAGAUAUUAGGAAGAACACCGGUGGCGAAGGCGGCCCACUGGUCCGGUACUGACGCUGAGGUGCGAAAGCGUGGGGAGCGAACAGG